rnacentral:rRNA from 1 species
UACGUAGGGAGCAAGCGUUGUUCGGAUUUACUGGGCGUAAAGGGCGCGUAGGCGGCAUAUUAAGUCAUCUGUGAAAUCUCCGAGCUUAACUCGGAACUGUCAGCUGAUACUGAUGUGCUAGAGUGCGGAAGGGGCAAUCGGAAUUCUUGGUGUAGCGGUGAAAUGCGUAGAUAUCAAGAGGAACACCUGAGGUGAAGACGGGUUGCUGGGCCGACACUGACGCUGAGUGCGCGAAAGCGUGGGGAGCAAACAGG